AUGGAAUCUGAGUCGGAAUAGAAGCAGAAAGAGGAGCAGGGCAACAAGAUUAGGCUUAGUAACGGUGUGAUUAAAGCCGAAGUGUUUAUUUCAUUCAUCAGUUAGUUGAUCAGUGGACGACAACCAGGGAAUCAGUAUCAUGCCAAGCAUUCACCGCUCCCAGCUCUGCAAACGCCAUUUCUCAUUUUCUUUGUCAUGCAGAAAGCAGUGGUGGAAUUUAAACGAGUAAUUCAUUCAAGUACUGCAUUUGAGAACAAAGAAAUAUUGCACUCGUGGCUUUAUCUGACAGUUUUAGCUCAGAUGUUUGCAUACAAAACAGAACAAGACAACGACCGCUAACUAUAUUCUUCAAGAUCUGCCUACCCAAUCCAUAGAGGUGCACCUGAAACAGUUGAUUAAACAAUAAAUCACUUGACAGCAAAUUGGUAUUUUGCGAUGCCUUUUAAGCACUUUUGAUGGCAUUUCUCACUCUUUUUCAGAAUUUUUACACACCAAAAGCUCAGUUGCAGAGUGAUUAGCAAUAAAAAUCACUGUUUGUAGUUGAACACAAAAUUAGCUCAAUGUUAACCCACGACAACAGCAAAAUCUAGCCUUGAUAUUAAUGCACGAAGAGUGUCACUGUGAGAGAACAUUGUGUGCAUUAGAGUACUUUAAGAGUGGUACGACUGGAUGUGAAUACUUCCUCCACCACUGAUAGAAAUGUGAUGUGACAUUAAACUGAAGAUUUUUGAGGGUUUUGUGAAGUUUGUGAACAAAACAAGCAACUUAAAAUACUUAAUAUUCUGCUGAAGAAAACCUGAUGUGCAUUUUUCAUUAUUUUCUGACAUUUCAUAGACGACAUUAUUAAUGGAUUCAUCAAGAAAAUAACAGGCAGAUUAAUCAAACCGAAAAUAACUGUUGAGAUUAGGGAUGUCCGAUAAUAUCAGCCCACCGAAAAUAUCGGCCCGAUAUUGGCUUAAAAAUGUGAUAUCGGUCAAUAUCGUUAUUGGUUUUUUGCCUAUCAUGAAAACCACUAAAAUAAUGCCUAAGAAAUUUCAAUAAGUUCUAUGUCAGCUUGGAUCAUUUCUUGUCGUUUUGGAUCACUUGAAAAAUUUCAUGUCAUUCUGGAGUAAUUUUUCGUAAUUAUGGAUCAUUUUCAAGUCAUUCUAAAAUGUAGUUGAUAUUUUCGUGAUAUCCAGUCAUUUUUUAAUAACAAGUGAUUGUUUCCAUAAUAAUUAAUUAUGGAAAUUGUAAUACCAUGAUCAUAAUGACCACAAAAACCAUUAGAUUUUUUUUCUUCCAGUCAAAAUAUCGGCCCAAUAUUGGCAUAAAAAUGUGAUAUCGGUCAAUAUCGUUAUCGUUUUUUUUGCCUGUCAUGAAAACCACUAAAAUAAUGCCUGGAUUUCACCGGCAUUUACUAGCGCAGAAAUGAUGACAUCAUCAAACUGCGUCGAGAAACGUGUAAACAGAAGUGUGGCUGCAAUAACAAACUUUCUGUGCGAGACGAACAAUAUGUCUGUGGUUUAGAAUUAUUUCGAGGCCCACAUAUAUCGGUAUGGGUUGAUAUCGGAAUUGACAUUGCGAGUUGGACAAUGUCAGCACAUCGGUUAUUGGCAAAAAAGCUAAUAUUGGACAUCCCUAAAUAAGAUGCUUCUCAUGUUAUGUGUGGAGGACGUUAACAGGACAAAAGAAAAGCAGGUAUUUUUAGUUUUUUUUGUCAAUUCUUUUGAUUUCUGACUAAUUUAAUAGCAGAUUUGCUUUUUUUUUGGAUGAUUCACACUUAACUGCAAAACACUUUUUAUUGCAACAACUUUCUGCUGAAGAAAUGAUCUGUGAAAACUGAACAGCGAGGGCCUGCUGUUGAUUUUCCGGUGUGUUUUUAAACGCCGAGCACCGAAAGACAACCGAAACAAACCCAGACUAUCUUCACGGCUUCGCACCACUAGAGGGAUGUUGUAGGCCUCUCUGGAGAACCUCAUCAGUCUGCCCUGCACCUCGAUGCCAACGUUGAAGGCCAGCAGCAGGUCCAGACCAGACGGCCGGCUGGGCAGCGUCUCUGCCAGGGCCAGCAGGCCAGGUAGCACCGCUCCUGAUGGGUGAGUUGCCGGGUGCCAAGUGUCAUCGAAGUCCAUGGAGUGAACCUAAUAUUAGACACAGGGACAGAGCUGCUAACCCCGAUGUCAAAGCUGCAUUUUCUGAGUCAAUAUAGAAUUGAGGGACUUUUGAAGUCCAUGGGAUAUAUCUUGCAUGCAUUUUUUAUCAAACAUAAAAACAAAUCUAAGGGUUUUUGUGGUCAUCAUGAUCAUGUCUUUACAAUUUCCAUAAUUAAUUAUUAUGGAAACAAUCACUUAUUAUUAAAAAUGACUGGAUAUCACUAAAAUAUCAGCUACGUUUUAAAAAGUCACACAAUUACAUAUUGACCCAUCCAGAAUGACUUGAAAAAGAUCCAUAGUUACGAAAAAUUACUCCAGAAUGACAUGAAAUUUGUCCUUAAUGGCUCAAGUGAUCCAAAAUGACAAGAAAUGAUCCAAGCUGACAUAGAACGUAUUGAAAUUUACAAGAAAAUUGUUCAAAAUUACUCGAAAAUUGUUGAAAAUCAUUUGAAAAAUGUCCAUAAUUACUCGAAAAUUGUCCAUAAUUACAGAAAAUUAGUCUAGAAUGACAUGAAAUUUGUCCUAAAUGACUUAAAAAUGAUCCCAAAGACACAAAAAUGAUCAAAAAUGAUGAGAAAUGAUCCAAGCUGACAAAAAACUUGACAAGAAAUUGACAAAAAAAAACAUUGACCGUGUCAAUACAUAACUGAGGGACUUUUGAAGUCCAUGGGCUAUAUCUUAUAUAUCUUUUUAUUAAAAGUGUUUUAAAUGUUCGUUAUGAUCAUGUCUUUACAAAUUCUAUAAUAUUUAUUAUGGAAGAAAUCCCUUAUUUUUUUAAAAAAAUGACUGGAUAUCACUAAAAUGUCAACUAAAUAACCGUCACAAUUUAGUAACAACCGCCUUCUAAUGAGCUAAACAAUAAUAAAAUGAGCUGAUUCAGAAAUAGUUUGGAUUGUGUUUUUUUUAAUAAAUUGAGAUAAUCAUGACAGCUUUUUUUUUUUUGUGGCGAUAUAUCACAUUUCAUAUGGAAAAUAACAAAUUGUAUCCGUGUCCGAGAAAUCACUGGUAGUGUGUGAGUCAAGUGUGGAUUUAUGGCAUCUCAUCAGGUUUACUACAAUAUCUUUAUAAACGACUUUCAAUUUCAAUUUUACUGAAUCGUAUAUAUAAUAUUUAGAAGAAUCUGUCUCUAAAUUGACAUGUGGUGUUUGAUUACAGGCGGUCAUGUUGAUUUUAAGCCUGAAAACGGCAACAAUGUCACCUAUGUUGACAUUGACAACUAUGUUCAUUCCUUAAAUUAGUUUUCAAAUGUAUUAAUAAUCUUGCCCCCGAACCCUUAUCCAAAUUUAUUCAAAGACAGAGCAGCAGCAGAGUAACAAGAAGCAAGGUGAAUGGAAACUGUAGCAUACAAAAAUGUAAGUCAACAUUUGGACAGUCAGCUUUCUCUUUUAGAGGCUCUGAACUCUGGAAUUCAUUACCAACCGAUAUCAAAUUAAUCACAGAUUUAAAACCCUUCUCUACAAAGGUCAAGUGCUGGCUAAAAGCAAAUCAGAGCUGUAAUCAUUCUUAGUUUGCCAUGUUUUUUUAUUAACUUAUUUUGAACUGGUUUGUGUAAUUAUUUGUUUUUAUGUGAACAUAUAUUUUAUUGUUCUUUUGUAAACUUUUCUGUUAUUUUAUGCUGUUAUAUAUUCUGACUUUUAUAUUUAAAGGCCCAUCUAGGGACAAGAGUUGGAAACUAGCAUUUGCUAUAAACUCUCUGUGCAACACAUCAGAUUCAUGCUAAGUAAUGGAACUAUGUUAAACUGCAUCGUCCCUGUCAAAUAAAUAAAUUCAAUUCAA